rnacentral:rRNA from 1 species
UACGCAGGGUGCAAGCGUUGCUCGGAAUUAUUGGGCGUAAAGGGUUGGUAGGUGGUCUUGUUUGUCUAAGGUGAAAUCCCAUGGCUUAACUGUGGAAGUGCCUUAGAAACGGCAAGACUAGAGUCCUAGAGGGGUUUGUGGAAUUCCCGGUGUAGCGGUGAAAUGCGUAGAUAUCAUGAGGAAUACCAGAGGCGAAGGCGGCUACCUGGACAAUUGCUGACGCUCAGGCACGAAAGCGUGGGGAGCAAAAGGG